CGGCCGGACAAGUCCGUUGGGAAAUCCACGCGCUCAACGCGUGGGCGGCCAGCGGAAACUGUCCGGCUUGGGGCCGGAAGAACCGAGGGGUACGUCCGGGGUAGGAGUGAAAUCCCGUAAUCCUGGACGGACCGCCGGUGGCGAAAGCGCCUCGGGAGGACGGACCCGACGGUGAGGGACGAAAGCCAGGGUCUCGAACCGGAUUAGAUACCCGGGUAGUCCUGGCCGUAAACGAUGUCUGCUAGGUGUGGCGCAGGCUACGAGCCUGCGCUGUGCCGUAGGGAAGCCGUGAAGCAGACCGCCUGGGAA
rnacentral:rRNA from 1 species